UACCCUUGACUUGUACGGAAGCCCGCAGAGAUGUGGGCGUGCCCGAAAGGGAGCCGUAACACAGGUGCUGCAUGGCUGUCGUCAGCUCGUGUCGUGAGAUGUUGGGUUAAGUCCCGUAACGAGCGCAACCCUUGUCAUUAGUUGCCACAUUAAGUUGGGCACUCUAAUGAGACUGCCGGUGACAAACCGGAGGAAGGUGGGGAUGACGUUUCUAGGAGGGUG
rnacentral:misc_RNA from 1 species